GUUUUAUUAUAUGAUAUUUUGAUAUUAUGGUUCUAGUAACGUGUUAAAACAAAAAUUUUGAUGUUUUAGGUCUCUUGGUUUCGCCUGAUCAAUCACCGGGAAAUCAACGAGGGGAGGCCGACGAUUUUUACAUGCGAUGGUAGAAGCAGCGGCGACGACAGAUGGAGGUCGUCGGCGGCAGCAGCAGCAACAACAACUACAACCAACACACUUAUCGCUUUCAUUUCACACGCACAAACCUCGAUUUCGCGUAUUAUGUUUCUUAUAUACUGUCCUGAAUCGAUUGCUGGCAUAUGAUCUCUAUAAAUCACACCUCAAUUUCUUCAAUUUCAUCAAGGUAAGCAAGGCGGCGGGUCGGGUGGCUCUAGUGCUCCGGGGGUGAUUCAAACUUAACGAAGGAUAUGGUGAUUCAAUGCUUUCUCUUCGAUUCUCGCUUCCUGCUAGAUUCUGAGACCGAUUGUCAACCCCAAAUCAAAGCUGAAGUAACAAUUAGGCUCAAGAACAAUCAUCGAUUUUGUUCUUGUAUGGGGCUGGAAGGAUGACGUGCUUUAUGAUUUUUAGUCCUUCUUCUGGGGUACAUGGAGUAGAAAAUUGAAAGAGAGACAAAGCUGCUACAUAUGGGGCAGGAAGGAUCACGCUUAGUCAGUUGGUUGAGGUAAGAUGUUUAGUGCUUCUGUCAUUUAACCACAGGCAGGAUGCCUCUUUCUAGCAGC